rnacentral:rRNA from 1 species
AGAGUUUGAUCAUGGCUCAGAUUGAACGCCGGCGGCAGGCCUAACACAUGCAAGUCGAGCGGUAGCACAGAGAGCUUGCUCUCGGGUGACGAGCGGCGGACGGGUGAGUAAUGUCUGGGAAACUGCCUGAUGGAGGGGGAUAACUACUGGAAACGGUAGCUAAUACCGCAUAACGUCGCAAGACCAAAGUGGGGGACCUUCGGGCCUCAUGCCAUCAGAUGUGCCCAGAUGGGAUUAGCUGGUAGGUGGGGUAACGGCUCACCUAGGCGACGAUCCCUAGCUGGUCUGAGAGGAUGACCAGCUACACUGGAACUGAGACACGGUCCAGACUCCUACGGGAGGCAGCAGUGGGGAAUAUUGCACAAUGGGCGCAAGUCUGACGGAGCAACGCCGCGUGAGUGAUGAAGGUUUUCGGAUCGUAAAGCUCUGUUGUUAGGGAAGAACAAGUACCGUUCGAAUAGGGCGGUACCUUGACGGUACCUAACCAGAAAGCCACGGCUAACUACGUGCCAGCAGCCGCGGUAAUACGUAGGUGGCAAGCGUUGUCCGGAAUUAUUGGGCGUAAAGGGCUCGCAGGCGGUUUCUUAAGUCUGAUGUGAAAGCCCCCGGCUCAACCGGGGAGGGUCAUUGGAAACUGGGGAACUUGAGUGCAGAAGAGGAGAGUGGAAUUCCACGUGUAGCGGUGAAAUGCGUAGAGAUGUGGAGGAACACCAGUGGCGAAGGCGACUCUCUGGUCUGUAACUGACGCUG